rnacentral:rRNA from 1 species
GAUGAACGCUGGCGGCGUGCCUAAUACAUGCAAGUCGAGCGAACGGACGAGAAGCUUGCUUCUCUGAUGUUAGCGGCGGACGGGUGAGUAACACGUGGAUAACCUACCUAUAAGACUGGGAUAACUUCGGGAAACCGGAGCUAAUACCGGAUAAUAUUUUGAACCGCAUGGUUCAAAAGUGAAAGACGGUCUUGCUGUCACUUAUAGAUGGAUCCGCGCUGCAUUAGCUAGUUGGUAAGGUAACGGCUUACCAAGGCAACGAUGCAUAGCCGACCUGAGAGGGUGGUCGGCCACACUGGAACGGAGACACGGUCCAGACUCCUACGGGAGGCAGCAGUAGGGAAUCUUCCGCAAUGGGCGAAAGCCUGACGGAGCAACGCCGCGUGAGUGAUGAAGGUCUUCGGAUCGUAAAACUCUGUUAUUAGGGAAGAACAUAUGUGUAAGUAACUGUGCACAUCUUGACGGUACCUAAUCAGAAAGCCACGGCUAACUACGUG